rnacentral:lncRNA from 1 species
CACAUAACACCUUUCCUCCAAAAUAUUUCCCCACCUAAGACCUUCCUCCCAAAAAUAUUAUCUCACAUAACACCUUCUCCCAAAUAAAACUCCCCCAUUACACACACUCUAUAAAACUCAUCCAACUUUCUUUUUCAAAAAAAGAGAAAAGGAAAAAAGAGACGGCCCUAUCUCAAAAUCACAAAAUCAGCUCAAAAGAAACCCAACAAAAAUGCCAUUGAAGCAGCUCCGAAACUUCUCCAUUCUCAUAUAUACAUCCUGCUCAUACACUUCACGGGCAGACACACACAGAUCUGAAAUUCAUGGUUACAAAGUUGGGUUCAAUUUCAGUUCGUUUUUUUACACUUUUGGGGAAUUUUCAUAGUUUAGUGAAGCUGUUGAGUUUGUUUUGAAUCCAUAAAAGAAAAUACAUGGAUUCCGGUAUCUUUGAAUAUAGAAAUCUGUAGCAAAAAAUUAAGAGCAAAAUUGUUUGAAGUUGCUACUGCCUUGUCUUCUCAUUUUCUGGGAUUCUGAAGUUUGUGCUGGACAUAUGCUGUUGCAUCUGCUGUAUCUAUUUUGCCGAGCUCUUCGAACUGAUUUGUUGCUCUUAUUUGGCUCAUAUUAACAUCUUCCUUGGUGAAAUAGGUUAGUAUGAUCUCCUCUGUAUUUAUGGUUUCAAUGGAUAAUCAAGUUUAUGGUUUAUAUCACAGUCCUUUUUCAUUUUCUAAUUAACUCUUUUAAUCUGUUGCAUUGUGGACUGUGAUACAAUUUAUUCAUUUAUAUAGCUGGCUUUUGCAUAGUAUCGUGAAGAAUUAUUUCAUUGUUGUAUGUAAGGAUGGGAAGUUUUCUUGCAUAUAAUAAAUUCGAUUCAAGUUGUAGGCCACUGGUAGCUGGACUUUCCUUUGAUUACAUUGCAUAUGCCAGUAAUUGACGUAUAUUUGAAAUACUCGAUUUGUGCGUCUUUAUGGGUGCACACAAGUCCAAUGGUGUAGCGUAAAUUACUGUGUUAGGACCUUUAUGACUUUUUCUGAAAGUGUAACUUCAAUUCUCUCUUAUUUAUGUUUUGCAGCAUUUGGUAAUUGCAAAUGUAAGAUUAUGCUAUCAUAUACUAUACAUUGUUUGUAGCCUAGUGUGUACGAAAAUGGUUUGUCUUGGAAAAGGAAAAAGAAAAUUGGUAAUUGCUAGUUUGAAAGUUGGUUGAUGUGUCAUUUGGCAUUUUAUAAGUUGAGCUUAAUACAAUGUGAAAAUGGUUUGUUUUGGAAAAGGCAAAAGAAAAUUGGUAAUUGCUAGUUUUGAAAGUUAGUUGAUGUGUCAUUUGGAAUUUUAUAAGUUGAGCUUAAUACAAUGUGAAUUUCAUUCAAGUUAAGGUUAGGCAUGAUUAGUGCCUCAUUCUGUUAGUUCCAACCUCACUGAUUCAUUAUGUAAUUUCAUUUAAGGGCAUAACUCAUUCCACAUGCUCUCAUUUUUUAAAUUAUCAACUAUUCAUAUGCAUGGAACCUUACAAUGCCUUAUACUAUGAUGCUUGCCGAAAUUACUUGCAUGCGAAUCUGUUGGAGUCUGCGAUAUUUUCCUUUAUAUUUGAUUGUCUAGAAUUCAUUCUACUUGCUCAUCUCGACGAGUGGUCUAGAAUAAUAAUCUUUGAAUAUUCGUAGUUUGCUUUAGUUAAGUAAAAUCCUUUUAAAAUAUAUUGAGGUGUGCCGCGUCAAAUAAAAUUACAAAUUGUGUGGCACUCAUUAAUUAUUUCUUUAAAAUAUUUAGAACUCGAGGCGUGCCAUUUAGCUAAUUUUUAUGGCUUUCGCAAAGUUAAAAAGGCGUAGUUGCUUUAGGCGCGUAAUUAAAUUACCUUCCUUAAACCCGGGUGCGCAUUGAUGCGACACAAAUCCAAAUCUCGACGAAGUCGAAAUGUGUUGACAAACACGGCUGCAUUGAUUGCAAUGGUUCAAAACGCAUUUUCAUAACGUCGCAAUUCUUUUAAAAUAAACGAUGAUAAAAAGCGAUUUGCAAAUAAAAGACAUAUAAGCUAGCAUGUAUUAAAAUCAGAUAAAAUCAAAUACAACAGCUGAGCGACCGUGCUAGAACCACGGAACUCGGGAAUACCUAACACCUUCUCCCAGGUUAACAGAACUCCUUAUCCGGAAUUCUGGUUCGCCGACUGUUACAGAGUCAUAUUUUUCCUCGGUUCGGGAUUCAACCGGUGUCUUGGGACACCAUUAAUCUCCCAAGUGGUGACUUUAAAUUUUAAUAAACAAAUCCCGUUCCGAUUGUUCUUUAAUUGGAAAAACUCCUUUACGCCCCUCGAGGGUGUAGGUGAGAAAGGAGGUGUGACAGCUCUGGCGACUCUGCUGAGGACAAGAACCCAGAACGGUUUGUUCAGGGUUCAGAAUUUGAGCUUAAAUAAAUUGUUGCAUUUGGCUAUAUCUGAUUUUCCUACAUGUUUCAUGCUUAAUGUGCUAAAUGUUACUGCUUUGAUUUAUUUGAAUUGUAUAUAAACAGUGCCGACACCCUUCUCUCUUCACCUCUGGGGAUGUUCUUACUGGUUGAUACACCCUAUUCAAUUAGUGUCAUACCCUAAAAUACGAAAGAAGCCGGAUAAGUUGCAAAGCCGGUUGAUCUCGCAGGUUACCGGUACAUUUCCCCCUCCUCGAUUCGAGUUGUCCGCUCGGGUACACAGUCUAGAACACAUACCCAGGUUUUGAACCUAGAAUAACGUGACUUCAUGCCGAAUCCCUAGUAGGAGCGCUUCUUUGCAUCAUGCUGCAUUUGACUUAAGGGACUCAACAUAGGGUUGGGUUCGUCUAGGAUUAGCAACCUGAAAUGAAAAAGACCAUCCUGUGCAACUUACUUGUUCUGUACAUAUAUUUGUUUCGCACCUGCAUGUUGACCGAUUUUUGAAUCUCAUGAAUAUUGAAAAACUUAAAAAAAAAAAGAGAAAAAGAGAGAAAUAACAGUUAGGGAGUCAUUUGAUUAUUUUAGAAAAACAAUGACCAAGUACUGUCGAAACUCUGCCGAAAUUUUGAGAAAAUAAAAAAAGAAGGAAAAUGUUUUACUAAACAAGCAAAGAAAAAUAGAAAAAGAGUAUUUUUUUUUUGGAAAGUUAUUUGUUAAAAAAUAAAAUUAAAAAAAGUCUUUAUUUUAGUUAGGAAAAAUAUGUUUUUUUUAUUGUUUGUUGAAAAUGAAAAAAGGAAAAAAAAAGAGUGGUUAUUUUAUCUUGUUUUCAAAAAUAGAAAAGAAAAGUAGUUUGUCUUGCCAUAAAAAACAAAAAUGAUAAAGAGUCUUGUUUUAUUUAAAAAAUAGUUUUUUAUUUAUUUGUUUAUGAAAUGCCAAAAAUAAAAAUAAAAAAGAGUCGUGCUUUUGAAAGAAGUCUUGUUAUUUGCGUAUGAAAUGCCAAAAAUAGAAAUGGAAAAAGUCUUGCUUUUGAAAGAAGUCUUGUUAUUUGCUUAUGAAAUACCAAAAUGGAAAAUAAAAAGAGUCUUGUUUUAAAAUAGUUCAGUUAAUUUGAUUCUCACAGCCUCCCCUUUUUAAAAAUAUAGCCCAAAAUGUCAAAAUUUUAAUUUUUGUCAUAAAUAAACCAGGUGAAGCCGUUCUUAUCAAAAAUAGCCAAAUGUUCCCAGACGGGGCGCCGGAAGGCUGACUUUGCAUAAACAGCCACCUUUGGUCAUAUUUUGAGUUUUGACCCUCACGACCUUAAAAUCUUCGUCCCCGAGGCACUGAAAGGCCCUGUUUGCAAUACUGGGUAAUUUAUUUCAAUUUGAAAAACAAGAAAAGAAUUACAAAUAAGUUGGGUGAUGCCGUUUUUGUCAAAAAUAGCCAAAUGUUCCCAAACGGGGCGCGGAAGACUGACUUUGCAUAAACAGCCACCUUUGGUCACAUUUUUAUUCGGACCCUCACAACCUUAAAAUCUUCGUUCCCGAGGCACUGGAAGGCCGUGUUUGCAAUACUGGGUCAUUUAUUUUAAUUUGAAAAAUAAGAAAAAAGAGUCAGUGGUCAUGUGAAUACCAUUCCAAUUUAGGGUCAAAAUUGGCAUAUAGGGGAAGGAAUCUGUCAUUUUGCUUUUGGGUUUUGUAUUUCUUUUGAUUAGAGUAUAUGGGUCGUUUGAUUUUCGAGUCUGUAUUUCAUCGUUAAGUUGGUCAGUUUUGUUGUUACUAUGAAAAUGGAAAACUCCAAAAAUGUUUAUUGUCAUUUACCUUUUAUUUGACAGAACUACGCUCGGUCUGGUUCAUGCGGGGUCAUGAGGCAAUCCACAUAGGAUUCGACCAUAACCAAAUAAAAAAAAGAAAAAAGAAAAGAGAGGAAAAACAAGGAAAAGAGAAAAGAAAGAAAAUAAGGCAAAAACAAAC